AACGCACGAGACCUGCGGACCUGCGGAAGGAUCAUUAAUGAGAAACUGCCCCUCGCGGGUAGGUCUCCCACCCUUUGUAAACUUACCUUUGUUGCUUUGGCAGGCCCGUCUCCGGACCGCCGGCUUCGGCUGGCCAGUGCCUGCCAGAGGAUUCUAAAACUCUGUCUGUCAGUGUUGUCUGAGUCUAUAUACAAUCGUUAAAACUUUUAACAAUGGAUCUCUAGAUCGGAAGAGCACACG
rnacentral:misc_RNA from 1 species